CCCUUAGAUGUUCUGGGCCGCACGCGCGUUACAAUGAAUCGUUCAACAGGUUUCUUCCUGAGUCGAAAGGCUUGGGUAAUCCUUUAAAUACGGUUCGUGCUAGGGAUAGAUUUUUGCAAUUAUUAAUCUUGAACGAGGAAUAUUUAGUAAACGCAGGUCAUCAGCCUGCAUUGAUUACGUCCCUGCCCUUUGUACACACCGCCCGUCGCACCUACCGAUUGGAUGGUCCGGUGAAGCCUCGGGAUUGUGGUUCUUGCCGCUUUAUUGUGGCGUGACCGCGAGAACUUGUCUAAACCUUAUCAUCUAGAGGAAGGUGAAGUCGUAACA
rnacentral:rRNA from 1 species